rnacentral:rRNA from 1 species
GUCGAGGAUCUUCGGCAAUGGGCGCAAGCCUGACCGAGCGACGCCGCGUGCGCGAUGAAGGCCUUCGGGUUGUAAAGCGCUGUCGAGGGGGAGGAAAGCCCGCAAGGGUCUGACUAAUCCCUGGAGGAAGCACGGGCUAAGUUCGUGCCAGCAGCCGCGGUAAGACGAACCGUGCGAACGUUGUUCGGAUUCACUGGGCUUAAAGGGCGCGUAGGCGGGCUGGCCAGUCAGGGGUGAAAUCCUCCGGCUUAACCGGAGAACAGCCUUUGAUACUGCCAGUCUCGAGGAAGGUAGGGGCAUGUGGAACUUCCGGUGGAGCGGUGAAAUGCGUAGAUAUCGGAAGGAACGCCGGUGGCGAAAGCGACGUGCUGGACCUUUUCUGACGCUGAGGCGCGAAAGCCAGGGGAGCAAACGGGAUUAGAAACCCCGGUAGUCC